GGUUUUGGUAUCAGGAUGAUGCUGGCAUCAUAAAAUGAGUAUUUUUCUUCAGACUUCAGACUGCUGUGCUGGAAGCAAGAAUUUCAAGCAUUGGAUCUUAGCUUGCUGGGCUCCAUAGGGGUGGGAUCCACUGAGCUAGACCACUUGGCUCCCUGGCUUCAGCCCCCUUCCAGAUUCAAACUAAUGGUGUCUCACCAACA
rnacentral:lncRNA from 1 species